rnacentral:rRNA from 1 species
UACGUAGGGUGCGAGCGUUAAUCGGAAUUACUGGGCGUAAAGCGUGCGCAGGCGGUUCUGAAAGUCAGCUGUGAAAGCCCCGGGCUUAACCUGGGAAUUGCGGUUGAAACUACAGGGCUAGAAUCUGGCAGAGGGGGGUGGAAUUCCACGUGUAGCAGUGAAAUGCGUAGAGAUCCGGAAGAACACCGGUGGCGAAGGCGGCCUGCUGGGCGGCGACUGACGCUGAGGCGCGACAGCGUGGGGAGCAAACAGG